UCUUCCGUAGUAUAGUGGUCAGUAUGUGAGCUUGUCACCUGAAGCUGACAUCGCUCGAGACCCGGGUUCAAUUCCCGGCGGGAGAG